AUUGAACGCUGGCGGCAGGCCUAACACAUGCAAGUCGAACGAGUGGCGGACGGGUGAGUAUUGUCUGGGAAACUGCCUGAUGGAGGGGGAUAACUAAUGGAAACGGUAGCUACUACCGCAUACCCUCAGAUGUGCCCAGAGGGGAUUAGCGAGUUGGUGGGGUAACGGCUCACCAAGGCGACAAUCCCGAGCUGGUCUGAGAGGAUGACCAUCCACACUGGAACGGAGCCACGGUCCAGACGCCUACGUGAGGCAGCAGUGGGGAAUAUUGCACAAUGGGCGCAAGCCUGAUGCAGCCAUGCCGCGUGUAUGAAGAAGGCCUUCGGGUUGUAAAGUACUUACAGCGGGGAGGCGUUACCCGCAGAAGAAGCACCGGCUAACUCCGUGCCAGCAGCCGCGGUAAUUC
rnacentral:rRNA from 1 species